rnacentral:rRNA from 1 species
GACGAAGGAUGCAAGCGUUAUCCGGAUUCAUUGGGUUUAAAGGGAGCGUAGGUGGCCUUAUAAGUCAGUGGUGAAAUCUCUCAGCUUAACUGAGAAAUUGCCAUUGAUACUGUAGGGCUUGAGUACAGAUGCCGUUGGCGGAAUAUGACAUGUAGUGGUGAAAUACAUAGAGAUGUCAUAGAACACCAAUUGCGAAGGCAGCUGACGAAACUGUAACUGACACUGAGGCUCGAAAGUGCGGGGAUCAAACAGG